rnacentral:lncRNA from 1 species
GUGGACAUGGACAGUGAAGAUAGAGAGUAGUGAUGGAUGGUGGAGAUAGAGGGCGGUGAUGGACAGUGGAGAUAGAGGGUGGUGAUGGACAGUGGAGAUAGAGGGUGGUGAUGGACAGUGGACAUGGACAGUGGAGAUAGAGGGUGGUGAUGGACAGUGGAGAUAGAGGGUGGUGAUGGACAGUGGACAUGGAUAGUGGAGACAGAGGGUAGUGAUGGACAGUGGAGAUAGAGGGUGGUGAUGGACAGUGGACAUGGACAGUGGAGAUAAAGGGUGGUGAUGGACAGUGGAGAUAGAGGGUGGUGAUGGACAGUGGAGAUAGAGGGUGGUGAUGGACAGUGGAGAUAGAGGGUGGUGAUGAACAGUGGAGAUAGAGGGUAGUGAUGGACAGUGGACAUGGACAGUGGAGAUAGAGGGUGGUGAUGGAUGGUGGACAUGGACAGUGGAGAUAGAGGGUGGUGAUAGACGGUGGACAUGGACAGUGGACAUGGACGGUGGGGACAGAGGGUGGUGAUGGACGGUGGACACAGACGGUGGAGAUAGAGGGUGGUGAUGGACGGUGGACACGGACAGUGGAGAUAGAGGGUGGUGAUGGACAGUGGAGAUAGAGGGUGGUGAUGGUCAGUGGAGAUAGAGGGUGGUGAUGGACAGUGGAGAUAGAGGGUGGUGAUGGACGGUGGACAUGGACAGUGGAGAUAGAGGGUGGUGAUGGAUGGUGGACAUGGACAGUGGAGACAGAGGGUGGUGAUGGACGGUGGAGAUAGAGGGUAGUGAUGGACGGUGGACAUGGACAGUGGAGACGGAGGGUAGUGAUGGAUGGUGGACAUGGACAGUGGAGACAGAGGGUAGUGACGGACGGUGGACAUGGACAGUGGAGACAGAGGGUAGUGAUGGAUGGUGGACAUGGGCAGUGGAGGUGGAGGGUAGUGAUGGACGGUGGACGUGGACAGUGGAGAUGGAGGGUAGUGAUGUACAGUGGACAUGGACAGUGGAGAUAGAGAGUGGUGAUGGACAGUGGAGAUAGAAGGUGGUGAUGGACAGUGGAGAUAGAAGGUGGUGAUGGACAGUGGACAU